GAUGAACGCUGGCGGCGUGCCUAAUACAUGCAAGUCGAACGAAUCUUCUUCGGAAGAUGAGUGGCGAACGGGUGAGUAAUACAUAGGUAACCUGCCCCUGUGCGGGGGAUAACAGGAGGAAACUCCUGCUAAUACCGCAUAGCCAUGAGCACCGCAUGGAGCUCAUGCCAAAUAUCCUUUCGGGGAUAGCGCAGGGAUGGACCUAUGGCGCAUUAGCUGGUUGGCGGGGCAACGGCCCACCAAGGCAACGAUGCGUAGCCGGCCUGAGAGGGCGGGCGGCCACAUUGGGACUGAGACACGGCCCAGACUCCUACGGGAGGCAGCAGUAGGGAAUUUUCGGCAAUGGGGGAAACCCUGACCGAGAAACGCCGCGUGAGCGAAGAAGGCCUUCGGGUCGUAAAGCUCUGUUGUAAAGGAAGAACGGCGCAUACAGGAAAUGGUAUGCGAGUGACGGUACUUUACCAGAAAGCCACGGCUAACUACGUGCCAGCCGCCGCCGUAA
rnacentral:rRNA from 1 species